rnacentral:rRNA from 1 species
CCCCAGACUCCUACGGGAGGCAGCAGUGAGGAAUAUUGGUCAAUGGGCGCGAGCCUGAACCAGCCAAGUCGCGUGAGGGAAGACGGUCCUAUGGACUGUAAACCUCUUUUGUCGGGGAGCAAAAGACGCCACGCGUGGCGUUCCGAGAGUACCCGAAGAAAAAGCAUCGGCUAACUCCGUGCCAGCAGCCGCGGUAAUACGGAGGAUGCGAGCGUUAUCCGGAUUUAUUGGGUUUAAAGGGUGCGUAGGCGGGAUGCCAAGUCAGCGGUAAAAAUGCGGUGCUCAACGCCGUCGAGCCGUUGAAACUGGCGUUCUUGAGUGGGCGAGAAGUAUGCGGAAUGCGUGGUGUAGCGGUGAAAUGCAUAGAUAUCACGCAGAACUCCGAUUGCGAAGGCAGCAUACCGGCGCCCUACUGACGCUGAGGCACGAAAGCGUGGGUAUCGAACAGGAUUAGAUACCCGCGUA